rnacentral:rRNA from 1 species
AUUGAACGCUGGCGGCAGGCCUAACACAUGCAAGUCGAGCGAGCGGCGGACGGGUGAGUAAUGUCUGGGAAUCUGCCUGAUGGAGGGGGAUAACUACUGGAAACGGUAGCUAAUACCGCAUACUAUCAGAUGUGCCCAGAUGGGAUUAGCUAGUAGGUGGGGUAAAGGCUCACCUAGGCGACGAUCCCUAGCUGGUCUGAGAGGAUGACCAGCCACACUGGGACUGAGACACGGUCCAGACUCCUACGGGAGGCAGCAGUGGGGAAUAUUGCACAAUGGGCGCAAGCCUGAUGCAGCCAUGCCGCGUGUAUGAAGAAGGCCUUCGGGUUGUAAAGCACUUUCAGCGGGGAGGCGUUACUCGCAGAAGAAGCACCGGCUAACUCCGUGCCAGCAGCCGCGGUAAUAC